rnacentral:rRNA from 1 species
AUUGAACGCUGGCGGCAGGCUUAACACAUGCAAGUCGAGCGGGGUGAUGGUGCUUGCACUAUCACUUAGCGGCGGACGGGUGAGUAAUGCUUAGGAAUCUGCCUAUUAGUGGGGGACAACAUCUCGAAAGGGAUGCUAAUACCGCAUACGUCCUACGGGAGAGAGCAGGGGAUCACUUGUGACCUUGCGCUAAUAGAUGAGCCUAAGUCGGAUUAGCUAGUUGGUGGGGUAAAGGCCUACCAAGGCGACGAUCGGUAGCGGGUCUGAGAGGAUGAUCCGCCACACUGGGACUGAGACACGGCCCAGACUCCUACGGGAGGCAGCAGUGGGGAAUAUUGGACAAUGGGGGGAACCCUGAUUCAGCCAUGCCGCGUGUGUGAAGAAGGCCUUAUGGUUGUAAAGCACUUUAAGCGAGGAGGAGGCUCUUUUGGUUAAUACCCAAGAUGAGUGGACGUUACUCGCAGAAUAAGCACCGGCUAACUCUGUGCCAGCCGCCGCGGUAA